UACAUUUAUGCCAAAUUAAAAUUAUUUCGUACAAAAAUAGAUUUUUGAGGGCGUUUCUUGCGCGUGUAUACUUGGCACUCUUUUAUAUCUUUUUUGAAAAGGUAAUUUUGUUGUGAUUUCACUCAUUUUGUAAUGACAAGUAUCUCAUUUCUUUUUAUAACAUAUAUGAAGAUUUAUAAAACAAUUUUGAUGUUCAUAUCAUAUCAAAUUAAAGGUCGAAACAAAACUCUCUCUCUCUCUCUCUCUCUUUCUCUCUCUUUGUGUAAGUGAUUUUCUCCCCUAAAUGAUAUAUAAUCAAUCAAAAGACACAUUAGUGUCUCGCACCAAGUGAACGCGCAGCACAAGAUCACCCCGUGUAUAUAUACGGGAGUAUGCGAUGCGACUUGCAAGCAUUUGAGAUUAUCAGAUCUCAAUAACGACUAAACCGAUCGAGUUCUAACUAGGCUCAAUCGAAAGCUUGAGUUUGAUUUAUAUAAGAAAACUUUUUAUUUUUACUCUACGUGCCUUACGAGUGGAGAUAUCGUGACGCAAAGUUCUAAUUGUAAAUUUUUCAUUUAAGAUACAUCAUCAUCGCCCUAAAAUUCUUGUCCAGUACAUGAGUUCAACACUAGAGGGCAUUAAGAUUUACCUGUGACUAGAGAGUCUCUUAUAAAGUAUUGAUGUAUACUAUAUAUUGAUAUGAUAAAUCAAUUAUUCGCUUUGCGAAAGUAAAAAGUAAAUAAAUAUCAAGUAAUAUGUCUGUAAAUCGUACGAAUAAUAAUAAUCUCUUAUAAGAAAAGUCGUGUAGAUCCGAAAAGUACAAGUUUUGUCAUCGCUUUUCCACGUAUGUGAUUGACGGUCAAACCCGCGAUGAGUUUCACGGCGAUGAUGUGACAGUUCGUAGUGCGAGGUUAGUGGCGAGUUAUUUGUGUUUCUGUACGCCUAUUAUAUUAUUUUACGCAAAGGAAAAUACGGCUGUGCCCAAUUUGAAGAUUGGUUAAUGUACUGUGCGUUGUAGAAUCAGAUAAGUAUAUUACACUAAAUUUUCAUUUUUUAAAGAAAAUAAGUAUUUUGAGAUAAGUCAGUACUUUGUGUCAUGUUUUAUUUUUAGUUAUUAAAAGAAAAAAAGAAAGAAACUUUACAUGAAGUUGAACUAGAGGAAAAAUAGUUUAGGCGAGUAAAAAGAGAAAAAGCAUCUGCGAGGGGAAUAUAGACUUCCGAAAACGCG